GUCUGGGGCGAGUCGCCGAGCCCCUCCCGCGGGGUGCCCCCAGCAGCCUGGCUGCCUCCCGCCGGCCUCAGCAUGGACGGUGGUCUCGCCGUUCCCGAGGAGGUCUUCACCCUCCUGGCAGAUGUUCACACAUUUAUUUCCCAAAUGCUAAAAGAAGAAAAUCUGUCCAACAAAGCAAAAGAAAAAAGGGAAAUUCUUCUUAAGAAGAUAAAAGAUGUUGUGGCAAGCUUUCCCAAGGAAUUCGCGGAUAAAGGUAAA